rnacentral:rRNA from 1 species
GGAUGCGAUCAUACCAGCACUAAAGCACCGGAUCCCAUCAGAACUCAGAAGUUAAGCGUGCUUGNGCGAGAGUAGUACUAGGAUGGGUGACUCCUGNGAAGUCCUCGUGUUACAUCCC